UCAUUAAUAGAAAUAUGAGUUAAGCGUCUAAGCCUAACCUGAUAAUAGUGUGUUACAUAAUAGAAAUUCUCAGUUUAGGGAAUUUAAAAGACGAGCUGGCAAGCUAGUCAUUAGCGGAAGCAAAAGACGUCGUGAUACCUAGCAUCAACUCAGCCUCGUCUGCACCAACCAAUCAACCUGAAAAUAUUUGAAAAUAAUUUAGACUGAGUACUAAUGCACUCAGUGGGCAUGAGUUUCUAAAAUAUUUUAUGAAAUAAUCAAAGCAGUUUAUCCAAUAUCACAAUCAUAACUCAUAAGGUUUUAAAACACAAAUCCACUUCUAAGUUUGAUAAAACUUUUUCUUAUUAAGUGGCGCGCCAUGCGACAUUCGAUUGUUACUCGCUGCUUAUGAUCCUGGGCCUUUAGCCACAGUCGGAUCGUUUACCGCCGCUUAAGUGAAGCCGGGACGCUACCCAGACGGAACAUAUCAUCAUUUGUGCUUUGGAAUGUGUCCAGGAGCACCCUUAUAACGCCUGCUUAGCUUUGUUAGUGCACGAUGGUGAUCAACCCACCGAGCUACUAUCCUUGUGUACACAAUCCUCAUCUAACGUGUUAGGCCAAAUGAGAAUCUCGAUCGAUGCUUAUACGAGCAUUAAACAAUGCAGAACGCACAUAAAAAAUAUUUAUAUUAGAUAAACAGAUAUUUUCAUGAAAUAUCAGAGCUUAUAUAACUCAAGAUAGAUUUUAGCAAAAUAAAGCCCACCUCGAAGUGGAUAUCCAGUGCUUGCUUUGCUCUUCUCUACUGUCCUUGGUUACUUGAACCUACAAAAAAUCUAUUCUUAAAUAGGUCUUGAGGUGUCAUUCUAAUUUCUAAGUAAAAGGGAAAAAUCGCUCACUAUUGAUACACUUUGCCUGAAAUAAUAAUUUCUUUAAGUGAGACCAUAAAUUUUUAAUACAUAAUUAUUAACUUAAUAAAUUUAAAAUUUAUAAAAUAAUUAAUAAUUUUAGAAUAUAAAACUUUAAUCUUGAGAGAAAGUUAAUUAAAACAUUUACAAGACCAAAAUAAUAAUAAAAGUUCAAGGAAAUAAUGUAAUAGGCCUGCCCAAUUUAAUGAGCUCAAGUAAAAUAUAUAAACUGAACCCAUCAGUUAAUUAAAAUCAGCCCAUUUGAAAAAUUAACCCAACAGAUUUUAAAGAAAAUCAGCCCAUCAUUUAAUAAAAGAGAGCCCAAAAGAAACCUACAUUAAAAAAAAAAAAAAAAUCUGAAUUAAAAGAUUGAGCUUCUCUCUCUAUCCUCACUCUAACCCAACGUCUCUCUCUCUCUAAUCGGUUCUCUCUCUCUCUCUCUUUCUAACUCACGCCUCUUCUCCCUCCACAGAUCCGCCGCCGCCGCCGCCUGCUCCAACCUCGGCGAGAAUCGCCGGCUCCGACGCCUCCCUCACCCAACGCCUUCCCUCUCUCACCAUACCCUCUCGCUCACCACCUCCCAUCUGCCCCUCUCUCUCUCUCUUGCGUACCCGACAGCAGACGGCCAAGGAAGGAGCGCCGCCAUCACUGCUGCUGCUGCUCCGUUCUCGGCCGCGUUAGUGGCGCCUGGCCUCCGGCCGCGCCACCUCGUUCAGCCGCCCCGGACUUCGCCGCCUUGCUCCGACUCUGUCUGCCUUGGCCGCGAGUGGCCGGCGGGCUGCUGCCAUGCAUGCAGCGCCGGCAGCCGCGGCCUUGACAGCCCGCGCCGAGCUCGGAUAGCCCCCCCUUUCUCCCUCUCAACGAUUCCUCGACUAUCACUCACCGGAGGAACAAAAGGAAUUUCAAAAUGUAAAGAUUUGAUUUUUGGUGUUUUGUAUUUCUGAAAUCUUUGAAGUUAUAAGAAAAGAAAGUUUAUGCCACUGCUGAGUUCUGAUUUGGGCGUCAAAAAUGGUUUCUUGAACAGUCCUUGCUGGGUUUAGUCGAUUGAGUCCUAAAGUUUGUGUUCUAGUCAUUGAGUUUUCUGUUAUGAUGUGGGUUUAGUAGUCUAUGAUCUUUCUUCUUUCUUCUUUUUCUUUUUUUUUUACAAAAUGGAAGAAAAUAUAGAAGGGAAUUUAUAAAUGUAUGGGAGUUGACCUUUCUUCUUGAGUGUUGCUGUCUUUUGUUUGAGAUUUUCUGUAACAAAAGGAAAAGAUCGCUUGGUUGUUCAUAUGAAAAAGACAAAAGAGAGAGUGAAUGAAGUUACUGAAUUUAGUUGGAGUCUUGAGCUUUUGUAAGCAGCAAUGAAGUAUUGACAGAUGUUGUUAGUAUUGAUUUCAUCCGGUCAUAAAAUUUCUGCAAUUGAAUGAAAGCAAAUUGAAUGGGAGAGAAGAAAUUACCUUCAGAAAUUGGAGUGUGCGGAUUAAAAAUGUUUGUGGGUCUGAAUCUUAAAGAAACAAGAAGAUGAAAAGCUUUUGGAUAGAAUUCUUGGGGAAAAAGGAAAAUGUUUCAAUUCUCGCUCGACUCGGCUUCUCACACUGAAAUCUUAAUUUUGGGCCAGUACUUAUCUCAAAAUUCUUGAGCUGAAAGCCCAUAAAAAAUAUUCUCUUAAAUAGAGAUUAUUGGACUUGAGGUCCAUCAAAAC
rnacentral:lncRNA from 1 species